rnacentral:rRNA from 1 species
UACGUAGGGGGCAAGCGUUGUCCGGAAUCAUUGGGCGUAAAGCGAGCGUAGGCGGCCCGAUAAGUCUGCUGUAAAAGUCAACGGCUCAACCGUUGAAAGCCGGUGGAUACUGUCGGGCUAGAGUUCGGAAGAGGCAAGUGGAAUUCCUGGUGUAGCGGUGGAAUGCGCAGAUAUCAGGAAGAACACCGAUGGCGAAGGCAGUGUUCUGGGCCAGUACUGACGUGAGGAGCGAAAGCGUGGGGAGCAAACAGG